GACGAACGCUGGCGGCGUGCUUAACACAUGCAAGUCGAACGGAAAGGCCUGCUUUCCCUUGUGGAUUGCGGGUACUCGAGUGGCGAACGGGUGAGUAACACGUGAGUGAUCUGCCCCCAACUUGGGUAUAAGCCUGGGAAACUGGGUCUAAUUCCCGAUAGGACUGCAGGGUGGUGCCUGUGGUGGAAAACGAUUUUCUAGUGGUUGGGGAUGAGCUCGCGGCCUAUCAGCUUGUUGGUGGGGUAAUGGCCUACCAAGGCGGCGACGGGUAGCCGGCCUGGGAGGGUGGACGGCCACAUUGGGACUGAGAUACGGCCCAGACUACUACGGGAGGCAGCAGUGGGGAAUAUUGCACAAUGGGCGGAAGCCUGAUGCAGCGACGCCGCGUGGGGGAUGACGGCCUUCGGGUUGUAAACUCCUUUCGACAGCGAGGAAGCCACCUGGUUGGAAGGGUGGUGACGGUAGUGGUAGAAGAAGCACCGGCUAACUACGUG
rnacentral:rRNA from 1 species